CACUACAGAAGGAGACGCUCGCGCUCUUUCGUCCCUUUUUGACCCGCUCGUAAGCUCCAACCAACCCUUUUCCCUCACUUCCUCGCCGGAAUGCCACUUCGUUUUCUCUCCAUCCAAACAUGAACUCGACGUCUUCCGCUCCGGCCUCCGCCUCCUCCUCUCUCCGCUUUCCCUCGGCUCGGCCUCCCGGUCCCCGCCGGAGGUUCGCUGCCCCGCCGUCGAGUAUAGAGAACAUCAGAUCCCGGGUCGCGGCGAGCUCUCUCGGCCUCGACGGCGACGCCCCCGGAUCCCCUCGCCCCUCAAGGCCGCUCCCCGGCGCCGCCGCGGCUCCCGAUCGGCUCCGGCGCCUGGCCUCGGAGUUCCGGUCCCUGGCGGAGCCGAUCGACAGGGUGAAGCGGCUCCUGCACUACGCGGCGAUCCUGCCUCCCUUCGACGAGUCCGCCCGGCUCGACGCGAACCGUGUCGCGGGCUGCGCGACCCGGGUGUGGCUCGACGUCGGGACGUACGGCGAGCCGCGCCACGGCGGCGGCAGGGGCGGGGGCGGGAGGAUGAGGUUCAGGGCGGACAGCGACUCGGAGAUCUCCAAGGGGUUCUGCUCGUGCCUGAUCUGGGCGCUGGACGAGGCGGAGCCGGAGGAGGUGAUCGCCGUGAGGGCGGAGGAUCUGGCGGCGAUCAACGUGGGCGUGGUGGCGCACUCGAGGGCGAACACGUGGCAGAACGUGCUGACGAGCAUGCAGAAGAGGACCGAAGCUCUGAUCAAGGAGAGAUCGGCGGAGUCCGAUUUGGAGCGGCCGGAGCCGGCGGAAGUCACAAGUCGAUAGGACCGCCGUGUAGAAAGCCUUGCGUAGCUCAUUCAACAUCUCAUGAUGAAAGACUUAUUCAAAUUGACAUGUGCGAUAGCCCCGAUGGUACCAGGUGCCCAUGCCAACAAGAAGCUUGAGCCUCACGAGGUGUAAAUAUAGUGGGUGUAAUCGAAUCGGGGUCGUUGUCCACAAUACUUAUCAUCUGUGCCCGGCUUGACUCGACCGUUAUACAUAGCUCGAGGCUCGACCCGUGUUGGGUCCGGUCUUGGAAGGGAAGAACUUGUUCCUAUAUCUCAAUUUUAAUCCGAACAUGGGUUUGACUGAACGAAACCACAGGAGCAACUAGAUUGCAUUCUUAUAUCCAAUUUGAGUCAAUUCGACUUAGAUUCUAUUUGUAAAUGAAUUUCAAUCCGAAUUGGGUCCUAUCUCGAGCUCAAAUUUGGAAAUGCAAAUGCUGAACUUAUUAUGAUCAAUUCACAAAUACAAUUGUCCCGGUGAACCAUCA